rnacentral:misc_RNA from 1 species
UAAUAGAUGGAUCAACUUUCUCACUGUGAUAUGCUUUCUUUUGUAUAUCACUCGAAUCUUGAUCAUUUUUCUAUAAAUACAUUGUUUUCAUUUUACCUAGUUUAUAUGUUGAUUUAUUUAUUAAUCCUGUUCUUUGCUCAAUCAAACCAGGACUUUUCUCGUGAUCUUUUUUCCAUCUUUCCUCACCUUUUUGAGGAUGAUUUCCAAUAUAUUUUCCUGUCACUUAGGAAUGCUUCAGUUUAAACCAAUAGAUUUCUGACUUGUUGGGCUGACUCUAUGAAUUCUGCCUCUUGAUAGAACUAAUCUGCUAUUUGUUUUAAGCUCCUUUUAUAUUAUGCUACUUUGAAGGUACUGCAGCUUAACUGCAUCUUACUCAUUCCUUCGAAAGUAUUAAUAUCCUUCAGGUCAACAAAAAGAAUAAAUCUCAAAUUUAUGAUGAUUAGCUUGACAUUAUGGGCAUUGAUGGCACAUUCAGAAAUUCAUAUUGGAUUUAGUAGAAGAAUCAAUGAUACCUGUAUUGUGGGUGCUUUGUUAAAAGAAGGAGAUUCUUUUGAUUAGCAGAUGUUUAUUACUUCUAAAGUAAAAGUUUGGAGUCCUCGGAUUGACUUAUGCAUGCUCAUUUUCACAGAUACAAUUUAUUAAAAUGUCUUGGUUUUUUAAUUGAGUAUAAACAGUGUCUCUAGGGGAAAUGCUUAGUUAUGUUUGUCAGGA